AAGGCUCUAUCUUAAUUAAAGAGUGGGACUUGCAAUCCCGAGAUGUGGGUUACACCCCCACGAGUCUUA
rnacentral:tRNA from 1 species